GUUUGAUCCUGGCUCAGAGCGAACGUUAGCGGCAGGCUUAACACAUGCAAGUCGAGCGAGAAAGGGGCUUCGGCUCCGAGUAAAAGCGGCGGACGGGUGCGUAACACGUGGAUAAUCUGCCUCGUGGCGGGGGACAACAGUCCGAAAGGACUGCUAAUACCGCAUGUCAGGUCGGAAACUCCGGUUUCUGACGAAAAAGAGGGCGCCCGUAAGGGGCUCUCACCACGAGAUGAGUCCGCGUCCCAUCAGCUAGUUGGCGGUGUAAUAGACCACCAAGGCUUAGACGGGUAGCUGGUCUGAGAGGAUGACCAGCCACACUGGGACUGAGACACGGCCCAGACUCCUACGGGAGGCAGCAGUGGGGAAUAUUGGACAAUGGGCGAAAGCCUGAUCCAGCCAUGCCGCGUGAGUGAUGAAGGCCUCGGUCGUAA
rnacentral:rRNA from 1 species